rfam:Butyrivibrio crossotus CAG:259 genomic scaffold, scf75
UUAUAGAAAACGGGGUGCCCUUGGGGGCUGAGAUUAUACCCAUAACCUGAUUUGGAUAAUGCCAACGUAGGGAGAUAUUUUGUUUUGACAG